AUAAAACUUACGGACAACUAAUCCGCAUCUUCUGAAUGCAACCCAGACACUUUAAUUAAGCUAAAGUUUUUA
rnacentral:tRNA from 1 species